AGAAAAAGAGAUACCAGCUGUGGGAAUCUAGUAAGGAUGCCAGUCUGAAGAAGCUAUAAUUAUGGUUGACUGACAAAGGAUUUGAAAGGAUGCAGCUUUUUAAUGAAGUAUGGGAUUUGUUGAAUUAAGGAACCAAUUUCUAAAGCAACUAAGGAGAUGAGCAUUAAGUGUCUGGAGUGAACCAUAUUAUCAGCUGCACAAUAAAAAAGAAAGCCAGUGAUCUUUGUCUUCAUACCACUAAAGUGAAAUGUACUCUUCCAGUUGACUUAAUGACAAGAAGACAUCAAAAUGACACAGCAAGAUAAAGAGGAUCAGAAAAGUAACAUGAUUAGGAUUAUAUGUGAUUAAAACUU
rnacentral:lncRNA from 1 species